AGUGAACGCUGGCGGCAGGCCUAACACAUGCAAGUCGAACGGCAGCACAGUGCGUGCUCGUGCAUACGGGUGCCGACUGGCGGAUGGUGCCGGAAAACAUGCGUAGCUAUUGGUUCUAGCGGGAGAACGCAGGCACUAUUACGGCAAUAGCGCAUACGACGUACGGGGGAAAGCAGCGGACCUUCCGAUCUCGCGCGAUCGUAUGUGCCGAUGUCGGAUUAGCUAGUUGGCGGGGUAAAGGCCCACCAAGGCGACGAUCCGUAGCUGGUCUGAGAGGAUGAUCAGCCACACUGGAACUGAGACACGGUCCAGACUCCUACGGGAGGCAGCAGUGGGGAAUAUUGGACAAUGGGCGCAAGCCUGAUCCAGCCAUACCGCGUGUGUGAAGAAGGCCUUCGGGUUGUAAAGCCCUUUUGUUGGGAAAGAAAAGCAGCAGGUUAAUACCCCGCUGUUCUGACGGUACCCAAAGAAUAAGCACCGGCUAACUUCGUG
rnacentral:rRNA from 1 species